rnacentral:rRNA from 1 species
AUUGAACGCUGGCGGCAGGCCUAACACAUGCAAGUCGAGCGGAUGAAGGGAGCUUGCUCCUGGAUUCAGCGGCGGACGGGUGAGUAAUGCCUAGGAAUCUGCCUGGUAGUGGGGGAUAACGUCCGGAAACGGGCGCUAAUACCGCAUACGUCCUGAGGGAGAAAGUGGGGGAUCUUCGGACCUCACGCUAUCAGAUGAGCCUAGGUCGGAUUAGCUAGUUGGUGGGGUAAAGGCCUACCAAGGGACGAUCCGUAACUGGUCUGAGAGGAUGAUCAGUCACACUGGAACUGAGACACGGUCCAGACUCCUACGGGAGGCAGCAGUGGGGAAUAUUGGACAAUGGGCGAAAGCCUGAUCCAGCCAUGCCGCGUGUGUGAAGAAGGUCUUCGGAUUGUAAAGCACUUUAAGUUGGGAGGAAGGGCAGUAAGUUAAUACCUUGCUGUUUUGACGUUACCAACAGAAUAAGCACCGGCUAACUUCGUG